rnacentral:rRNA from 1 species
UGGAAACGACUGCUAAGACUGGAUAGGAGACAAGAAGGCAUCUUCUUGUUUUUAAAAGACCUAGCAAUAGGUAUGCUUAGGGAGGAGCUUGCGUCACAUUAGUUAGUUGGUGGGGUAAAGGCCUACCAAGACUAUGAUGUGUAGCCGGGCUGAGAGGUUGAACGGCCACAUUGGGACUGAGACACGGCCCAAACUCCUACGGGAGGCAGCAGUAGGGAAUUUUCGGCAAUGGAGGAAACUCUGACCGAGCAACGCCGCGUGAACGAUGAAGUAUUUCGGUACGUAAAGUUCUUUUAUUAGGGAAGAAUAAAUGAUGGAAAAAUCAUUCUGACGGUACCUAAUGAAUAAGCCCCGGCUAACUAUGUGCCAGCAGCCGCGGUAAUACAUAGGGGGCAAGCGUUAUCCGGAAUUAUUGGGCGUAAAGGGUGCGUAGGCGGUUAAAUAAGUUUAUGGUCUAAGUGCAAUGCUCAACAUUGUGAUGCUAUAAAAACUGUUUAGCUAGAGUAAGAUAGAGGCAAGUGGAAUUCCAUGUGUAGUGGUAAAAUGCGUAAAUAUAUGGAGGAACACCAGUAGCGAAGGCGGCUUGCUGGGUCUUUACUGACGCUGAGGCACGAAAGCGUGGGGAGCAAACAGGAUUAGAUACCCUGGUAGUCCACGCCGUAAACGAUGAGUACUAAACGUUGGUUAAAACCAGUGUUGAAGUUAACACAUUAAGUACUCCGCCUGAGUAGUACGUACGCAAGUAUGAAACUUAAAGGAAUUGACGGGACUCCGCACAAGCGGUGGAUCAUGUUGUUUAAUUCGAAGGUACCCGAAAAACCUCACCAGGUCUUGACAUGCUUCUGCAAAGCUGUAGAAACACAGUGGAGGUUAUCAGUUGCACAGGUGGUGCAUGGUUGUCGUCAGCUCGUGUCGUGAGAUGUUGGGUUAAGUCCCGCAACGAGCGCAACCCUUAUUGUUAGUUACCAGCACGUAAUGGUGGGGACUUUAGCAAGACUGCCAGUGAUAAAUUGGAGGAAGGUGGGGACGACGUCAAAUCAUCAUGCCCCUUAUGACCUGGGCUACAAACGUGAUACAAUGGCUGUUACAAAGGGUAGCUGAAGCGCAAGUUUUUGGCGAAUCUCAAAAAAACAGUCUCAGUUCGGAUUGAAGUCUGCAACUCGACUUCAUGAAGUUGGAAUCGCUAGUAAUCGCGAAUCAGCAUGUCGCGGUGAAUACGUUCUCGGGGUUUGUACACACCGCCCGUCAAAC